CCUACGGGAGGCAUCAGUGGGGAAUAUUGGACAAUGGGCGAAAGCCUGAUCCAGCAAUGCCGCGUGAGUGAUGAAGGCCUUCGGGUCGUAAAGCUCUUUUACCAGGGAUGAUAAUGACAGUACCUGGAGAAUAAGCUCCGGCUAACUCCGUGCCAGCAGCCGCGGUAAUACGGAGGGAGCUAGCGUUGUUCGGAAUUACUGGGCGUAAAGAGUACGUAGGCGGUUAUUCAAGUCAGAGGUGAAAGCCCGGGGCUCAACCCCGGAACUGCCUUUGAAACUAGAUAACUAGAGUCUUGGAGAGGUUAGUGGAAUUCCGAGUGUAGAGGUGAAAUUCGUAGAUAUUCGGAAGAACACCAGUGGCGAAGGCGACUAACUGGACAAGUACUGACGCUGAGGUACGAAAGCGUGGGGAGCAAACAGGAUUAGAUACCCUGGUAGUCCACGCCGUAAACGAUGAUAACUAGUUGUUCGGUCACUUGGUGACUGAGUGACGCAGCUAACGCAUUAAGUUAUCCGCCUGGGGAGUACGGUCGCAAGNUUAAAACUCAAAUGAAUUGACGG
rnacentral:rRNA from 1 species